GUUUUUCCCAUUAUUCUAUCUUUUCCUUUCACCAUUUCUCUCCCCCUUUCUCUCUUAACCCUAAUAACGUUGUCACCAUCAUUCCUGCUGGUCACCGUCGCCGCCGUCCCUACCCAGUACCGUCGUUGCUGUCGCCGUCCAUGGCCAACCAUUUGAGGUAUGCUUUCUUUGUUUUCUUGGCUAAGAAAUCUGCUAAGAGGACCAGUUGAAAAAAGCUUGUUUCAGAUAUAUAUAGCUUGUACCUCAUAAGAUUUAUUAUCAAAAUACAAAUGGGAGCUAGUGACUAAACACCUAAUUUGUGUGAAGUAGUUCAGAAUACGAGAGUCAAAAUAGGAAAUUAUGGAUUUUGGUUACCCUCAAAAUCUUUCACCUGAAAUCUUGAAACAGAACAUUACUCAGGAAGAUGUUAGGUCAUCCUUUUCAUCCAAGCAUGUAGAUAAGUCAGUUCCAAAUGCAACAUUGCAAGUCACUGGUGCGGUCGGUUGGCGCAGGGAGGGUCUUGCUUACUGCCAUUAAGGAAGUUAUUUUCCUCAUUUUUAAGGAACUUGUUUUCUAAAGAAAGUGUUUUCCAAAACAUCUUCACCAACCAAACAUGGAAAAUUGGAAAACAUUUUCCAUACCAAACACACCCUUAGUUCUUUCAAAGUCCAAAUUUGAUCUCCUCAAAAAGGAAAAAAAGAGCAUUAUCUUUACUGGUCAUUCAUCUCCUCAAUUUAUUUACCUUAAAGAGUAAAGAUAAUAAUCAUUGCAUUCUGCUUCUUUCAGUUGGUUCUCCUUAUCUGCAGAUUUUCAAUGCUAACUGUUCUCAAACAUGUGAUUAUCUAUUCCCUCCGUUUCAAUUUGUUUGUCUGCUUGACUUGGCAGUUGGCACAGAGUUUAAGAAAGUAAAGAAUACUUUUGAAUCUUAUGGUCUUAAACUAAAGAUAUGUAGAAUGUGCCAAAAUAUUUUUAAUGUUGUGGUCUUAAACAUGCUAUGUGGAAUGUUGGAAAUAAAGAGUUGCCAAAAGAGGCAUUCUUUUUUAAACGGAUUAAAAAGGAAAGUAAGACGAACAAAUUGAAAUGGAGGGAGUAUCAGUUUGGUCUAUCGAUUCACGAAA